UACGUAGGGGGCGAGCGUUGUCCGGAUUUAUUGGGCGUAAAGAGCGUGUAGGCGGCCUGACAGGUCUGCUGUGAAAACUCGAGGCUCAACCUCGAGACGUCGGCGGAAACCAUCUGGCUAGAGUCCGGAAGAGGAGAGUGGAAUUCCUGGUGUAGCGGUGAAAUGCGCAGAUAUCAGGAAGAACACCCGUGGCGAAGGCGGCUCUCUGGGACGGUACUGACGCUGAGACGCGAAAGCGUGGGGAGCGAACAGG
rnacentral:rRNA from 1 species